rnacentral:rRNA from 1 species
CCUACGGGAGGCAGCAGUGAGGAAUAUUGGUCAAUGGACGAGAGUCUGAACCAGCCAAGUAGCGUGAAGGAUGACUGCCCUAUGGGUUGUAAACUUCUUUUAUAUGGGAAUAAAAUGUUCCACGUGUGUGAUUUUGUAUUUACCCUAUGAAUAAGGAUCGGCUAACUCCGUGCCAGCAGCCGCGGUAAUACGGAGGAUCCGAGCGUUAUCCGGAUUUAUUGGGUUUAAAGGGAGCGUAGGUGGAUUGUUAAGUCAGUUGUGAAAGUUUGCGGCUCAACCGUAAAAUUGCAGUUGAAACUGGCAGUCUUGAGUACAGUAGAGGUGGGCGGAAUUCGUGGUGUAGCGGUGAAAUGCUUAGAUAUCACGAAGAACUCCGAUUGCGAAGGCAGUUCACUGGACUGCAACUGACACUGAGGCUCGAAAGUGUGGGUAUCAAACAGGAUUAGAUACCCUUGUAGUC